AUUUCUCACAAUUUUUAAAAUCGUAAUGCUGAAAUGAAAAUCCUGAUUCCCUUGUAUUAAUAUCGACAGUUUGUCACUAAUUGAUGUCAAUUAUAUCCUAUUGAAUGAUUCAUAUAUGGUGAUUUAGUGUAGUAAAGGCUUGUAAACCUGUGAUUUUGUGUUUGCAUAAGCUACGACGAGUUUUCGUAUUUUUUGGUUCUUUGCAAAUAGAAAUGAAUUAUCUUUUCUCUUGCCGACAAAAUUUCCUCCAAUGACCAGCAAUAAUAGUUAAAACAAUCAUUGGUUUCUCUGUUUAAGUCAUAGUGAUUAAUUUGUUGAAUUAUUAUUAUCAUAAUAAAUGCUUGCUUGGCAGCAUACUACAACCACUGUUUUCCAAUGAAAUACUUCGCAUACUAUAGUAAUUAAAUACAAGUUUUCCCUAGAAAUACCAACUUAAACAUAUGUUGACUAAACAUCGGUGCGAGUGAAAGCAAACACUAAUUCUUACUCAUGUAUCCAAGUUGUUUGUCAGGUUUGGGGAAACUAGUUUUACCAUUUCAGCCGUUCAACGAUACGAACAACUUCAUAGUUGUAUUUCCAUUUCACAAAGAUUAAUCUGUAGAUUUUAGAUGAUGCAGAGUUAUACACAAUACUAGGGUGAUGAAUAAAUAUACAAAAGACAGAUACAAGUUGAUAAAU